AGAGUUUGAUCAUGGCUCAGAAGCAACGCUGGCGGCAGGCCUAACACAUGCAAGUCGAGCGCCCCGCAAGGGGNNCGGCGGACGGGUGAGUAACACGUGGGAACAUGCCCUUCGGUACGGAACAACUCNNNGAAACUUGAAAUCGUAUGAUCCGGCAACGGCAAAGAUUUAUCCCGAGGGAUUGGNNCGCGUCCGAUUAGCUAGUUGGUGAGGUAACGGCCCNNCAAGGCUCCGAUCGGUAGCUGGUUUGAGAGAACGACCAGCCACCUGGGAUGAGACACGGCCCAGAUNNUCGGGAGGCAGCAGUGGGGAAUCUUGGACAAUGGGGGAAACCUGAUCCAGCAUGCCGCGUGAGUGAUGAAGGCCUUCGGGUUGUAAAACUCUUUCGACGGGGACGAUAAUGACGGUACCCGUAGAAGAAGCUCCGGCUAACUUCGUGCCAGCAGCCGCGGUAAUACGAAGGGGGCUAGCGUUGUUCGGAAUUACUGGGCGUAAAGCGCGCGCAGGCGGCUCCUCAAGUCAGGGGUGAAAGCCCAGAGCUCAACUCUGGAAUUGCCUUUGAAACUGUGGAGCUUGAGUACGGUAGAGGUGAGUGGAAUUCCCAGUGUAGAGGUGAAAUUCGUAGAUAUUGGGAAGAACACCGGUGGCGAAGGCGGCUCACUGGACCGUACUGACGCUCAGGCGCGACAGCGUGGGGAUCAAACAGGAUUAGAUACCCCCGUAGUCC
rnacentral:rRNA from 1 species